rnacentral:lncRNA from 1 species
ACGCCCGGGCCCUCCCACUCUGCCUCCAACCCCAGAGCGUGGACGCAAGGGGAGGAGAGGUGAGGAAUCAGGGGUCCUACGCAGCUGCCGCCCCUGGCCCCCUCUCUUCACAAUUCCCGUUCGCACGAGUUGCGCGGUCUCCAGUCUUCCUCGGGCUGCGUGUGGAGGUGCGGACGGGGUGAAGGAGAGGAGCUGCCUUCACUCGGGAGGAAGAGAGAGGCGAGCGAGGAGGGAAGGCAGGCAGGGGCGCCCGGUGACCGCACAGGGCUCCGCACCCCGCUCCCCGCCACCCUCUCCGGCUCCGGCUGCGGGGUCGACCGCGGCGAAGGACGCAGCCCUGGGGUUGGGGUUCAGCAGCCACUCACCAAAGCACCAAGAGCCCAGCAGCAGCGUCGCCGCCAAGGGCCACAUCUCCGCGCCGGCCCUGUGGGUUCCGCAGCCAAGGGUGUCGAGCAGCCGCCGCCUCCGAUACCGUUGCGGGCGGAUCCGGCACGCGCGCUCCCCAGCCCCCUCGGGCUCUGGUGCCGAUCUGCGCCCUCCGCGGGCCUCCCGCCCAAGUCCCGCCGUCCUCGCUCUCCCACGGCUCCAUACGCCACAGCGGGCUGAGCCCUUAUCCCCAGCUCAUGGGGGUCCCCGCUGCCCUCCGCUCUGCGGCUUCUUCCGCCUCCACAGAGCCCGGGCCCCACAGUCCCCGCCGCGCCUUCGCUCUGCCGCGAUCCAGGCCCCGCCAGGCUUCGCUCCGCCGACCUCGGAGUCCCCGCUACGCGCCGCCCGGCCUCCCUCUGCUGGGCCAGGGCCCCGACCCUCCCUCGGCCCUCACCAGGGCCCUUCUCCCCCCAACCCCCAGACCCCCGCGGGGUUCCCACGCCCGAGCCCGAGGGCCGCGCGGAGCCGGGGCGCCGUGACCGCUCCCCGCCCUGACGCUGGCGGCCGCCUUCUUUGUUUCAGGUGCGGGCCUCUUACCUCUCUCUCUCUCUCUCGUGUUUUUAUCGAGUAAGUUCCAGUUGUGGUGGUGAACGUUCAUAAUGGGACUAACACAGAGAUGGCAAACAGAGUAGACCGAGCCAGGACACCCCGGCCAGCGGUGUCACUGAGUACGGUUUGUGACUCUACCGUGUGUACUUCUCUGCGCUGUUUGGGUUUAUCGUGCUUGAAAAAUGGGUUCAGAAUGUGGCUCCAAGCUACAAUAUGGACAGGGCCUCUGAAUAUAUCGCUGAAUCACACAGGCCGUAUCAUUCAUCUCAAAGCAAAAGCCCUUUUAAAGCUACCAUUAGCGUUUAUCCCAAGUGAUGAACUCUCUUGUCAGUGUCAGGCUCUGGUGGCUGCUCUCAUGGAGCUUAUAUGGUCUAUUUCCUUGAUGGUUUUCUCACAUACUGGAAAAGACAGCAGUUUCCCACCACAGUAUCCCAACUUCUCCAAAUCCUCUACCCUGGACAUCUUCUCCCUAGCAUUUAUCACCACAGGAAUAAAAUUCAGGAAAUAGAAUUGCUUCUCUCUAUGACACGGAAGCAAUGUAUUGUAUUCUGUGAAGUACUGCCUCUUCUAAGAUUUUCCAUUAAAUUGGGCAAACAGAAGAGGUGUACUAAAUCUAUUAAUGUGACUAGCCAAGUUGCUGUAGUGAAACUUGAUUGUUAAGUGAUUGAAAAAAGAAAGAAAAAUAGUAGUCGAGCAGACAUCUCACUAAAACAAUGAUUAAUAACUAUGAUAGUAACAAUUUGAAUGGAAGCCUUGACACCCUGAGGCUAUGAGAGGAGCUGAUCAAUUUUCCAGCUGCUACAAAAGAAUCAUCCAACAGACUUUGAGCAUUAGGGACACUUGGCUAAAUAAGGCUGUCAGCUGUCCCGGCAACCGACCAACCCCCUAAAGCUGCAGAGUGACUGGAGAGGUACCUGGAGAGAUCCAGUGAUGCUCUAAACUGAAAUAGGCUUAAGUCAGGCAAAUCAGAGGCACCUGGGCAAUCACCUCUGCUCUAGUUCGGACAAGUUGGUGGGUUGAAGGGGUGGUGCAGGACCAAGAGGAGUCCCAUCCUAGGAGUGACAGUCCAUAGUAGCCUGCUAUGGUUUGAUAUCUUCUUUCUGAGAUGACCUUAAACUCUUUUCUCUAGUAUAUAACCUCCUUAAGAGUUUUAAUUUAUUCAGACAGAUUUAUUUGAAAAUGAGCUUGUUUUAUCUUUAUGUAAUGGAGUUCUUCAAUGGAAGGAGAGGGGAUGAUGUAUAUUUGAAUGUUUGAACAUAGUAUAGUGUCCAGCAGGGAGUCCUUGAGGGGGAUACCCCCAUAGACCUUGUUUCUCCAGUUCCCUCACCGUCUUUCCCAGAAAGAAUGAGGAAGUGGGGCAAGAUUGGCUCAAAGUCAAGCCUCAAGUGGAAAAUGAGAAUGUCAGAAUUAAAGAGAUGCCUAAGCCAGAGUUUAUUUAUGGUGUGGUGAAUGCAGGAAACCCCCCCCCCCAAAAACCUACCUUACAGCAGAGCGCACUUCAAAGUAGGGGAACCUGAGCAGGUGUGGAAUUCAGAGAGCCAGUGUACUCAUACUUACAGGAGUAAGCUGGUUUCUAAAACGAACUGUUUCAUUGAUUGGUGUUAUUUCUCAAUUUCACCCAGCUGUGGCAGAAUAGAGCCACAGUCAUCCCAUGAAGACAUGGAGCAUAAGGGCCUGUGCUGUCUGGGCAAGAACAGAGUUUGGAUAAUCAGUACCUUGGAGAUACUGACAUGGGGUUGGAGAGGCAGACUUAGCCUAAGAAAAGAGAAGUAAAGGUUCCAGGGUGUCCUCACCAGUGCUUCAAUCAAAUGCAAAUACCGAGGGCAAUCUAAUAUGCUGUGAAUCUCCUUCUGUGUGUCCAGGAAGUAACAGGAUACUUUGCCUCUGCCAGGAAUAUGCACAGGGUUUCUAUUUCUUGCUUCUCCUCCUGCUGUUGGAGCUCCAGCUGCUUAUGUGGAAUCCAUAUUCAUGUAAUUUCAAAACACUGGGAAAAGCCAGCAUCCAGGCAGGGGAGGUUGUAAAAUUGCAGCAGGAGCAUUUCUAUGAGAGUGCAGUAUUUUGCAUCCCGCAAAGGGCCCUUCAUAUCCUGCCUAACUCUCACAUUUGGGCUAAAUAACAAACAUAGUGAAUGUCCCUUUGUGAGUAGUUUUAUUUUCUGCUUGUUAUUGUAGGGAACAGGGAAAGGGGAUGUUACUAGGACCUCUACAGUAAGUCCUAGUCUCCUGAGAGCCGUGGCAGCACAAGGUGAAUUAACUUAUUAUACAGGAAAGGUAGAAAAAAAUGAAACUUUGAGAAGAAGCUGAGCUUUGGGCCUGAUCAGUGCUGCUCUGGGCAGCAAAGACGAAAACUCCCAGCUUACCACACCUUUUAUUCAGUAUAAUGGCAGAAACAAAUGUAACAAAUGACUUGCAGAGAGUUCAGUACAUCGGCAUAAACAAAGUAUAACAAUCCAAGAACAAUGAGGAACUGAGUAGAUGGAAGAUUUUGUUCCUCCCAGGAUUUCUUCAGCUGGUGUAAUCUUGUCCUGGAGCAUCACAGCAUCACUGGAUCAUUGAGGUCUCAGUUGUGACCUGGGACCAAAAUGGAAUUAUGUCUCAAAAUGCCAUAGCCGGCCUGUAGGCAGGAGAGCUAGUCCUAAUCAAAUGAUUUUUCCCUAAAAUUAUGUAGCAUUGCUCCCAAAAUGUUAUGGCUUGUACCUUGUAAUGGCUUGUACCUAUUUUCUGCUUGCUAUGGCUUAUGGUUUGUCUCCCCAAAUCCUCAUGUGCUCCUGGGUAGGGCUUUUCAGAGCUGGCCGGAUUUAAGGCGUGUGAUACUGGGAUUAAGGGUGUGUGGUACUAAUUGAGUCCACUGAUUGGUGUAGCAUAGUUCUGGGUGUGGAAAAGGCUAGUAGCCUGGAUGGGAUAAAAGGGAGAGGGAAGGGAGGCUUGCUGCUUGCUGCCUUCUGCCUGUUGUGCUAUAGACUGUUUAUUCUUUGCCGUGUCAUACUGCCUUGGAGCCAGGUGACUAUGGACUGAAAUCUCUACACACUGUGAG